GCAUCUGUAGUGUAGGGGUAUCAUGCAGCGUUGCCAUCGCUGCGACCCGGGUUCGAAUCCCGGCAGAUGCA
rnacentral:tRNA from 1 species